UACGUAGGGGGCAAGCGUUGUCCGGAUUUAUUGGGCGUAAAGAGCGUGUAGGCGGCCAAGCAGGUCCGCUGUGAAAACUCGAGGCUCAACCUCGAGACGUCGGUGGAAACCGUUUGGCUAGAGUCCGGAAGAGGAGAGUGGAAUUCCUGGUGUAGCGGUGAAAUGCGCAGAUAUCAGGAAGAACACCCGUGGCGAAGGCGGCUUUCUGGGACGGUACUGACGCUGAGACGCGAAAGCGUGGGGAGCGAACAGG
rnacentral:rRNA from 1 species